UCUGGAAGCUGUAAUAUUAAUGCGUGCAGUUUGAGUGUCUGCACGUAGUAGCAGCCUUCCUAUAGUAACUGGAGAUAUCUGCCUGGCUCUGUAUAGGAUGUACAGAAGCAGAUCGUUCCUCUCCUCACACA